rnacentral:rRNA from 1 species
ACGAACGCUGGCGGCGUGCUUAACACAUGCAAGUCGAACGGAAAGGCCCUGCUUUUGUGGGGUGCUCGAGUGGCGAACGGGUGAGUAACACGUGAGUAACCUGCCCUUGACUUUGGGAUAACUUCAGGAAACUGGGGCUAAUACCGGAUAGGAGCUCCUGCUGCAUGGUGGGGGUUGGAAAGUUUCGGCGGUUGGGGAUGGACUCGCGGCUUAUCAGCUUGUUGGUGGGGUAGUGGCUUACCAAGGCUUUGGCGGGUAGCCGGCCUGAGAGGGUGACCGGCCACAUUGGUACUGAGAUACGGCCCAGACUCCUACGGGAGGCAGCAGUGGGGAAUAUUGCACAAUGGGCGGAAGCCUGAUGCAGCAACGCCGCGUGCGGGAUGACGGCCUUCGGGUUGUAAACCGCUUUCGCCUGUGACGAAGCGUGAGUGACGGUAAUGGGUAAAGAAGCACCGGCUAACUACGUG